GCAGGGUGUGCGGAACAUCAAGGCCACCGAUCUGCGGCCCAUCUACAUCUCUGUGCAGCCGCCUUCACUGCAUGUGCUGGUGUGUGCUGGGCAGGGUUGGGGGCUGGGGGCCAGGGCAUGCCAGGCUCUGAUUGCCACCCCCUUUUUAGGAGCAGCGGCUGCGGCGGCGCAACACUGAAACGGAGGAGAGCCUGGCGAAGCGGCUGGCUGCUGCCCAGGCCGACAUGGAGAGCAGCAAGGAGCCUGGCCUGUUUGAUGUGGUCAUCGUUAAUGACAGCCUGGACCAGGCCUACGCAGAGCUGAAGGAGGCGCUCUCUGAGGAAAUCAAGAAAGCUCAAAGGACCGGCGCCUGAGGCUUGCUCUCUGUUCUCGGCACCCCGGGCCCAUACAGGACCAGGGCAGCAGCACUGAGCCGCCCCCUUGGCAGGCAAUAUGGCAGCUCUGUGCCCUUGGCCAGCAUGUGGAGUGGAGGGGAUGCUGCCCCUGUGGUUGGAACAUCCUGGGGUGACCCCCGACCCAGCCCCACCGGGCUGUCCCCUGUCCCUAUCUCUCACUCUGGACCCAGGGCUGACAUCUUAAUAAAAUAACU
rnacentral:sRNA from 1 species